rnacentral:rRNA from 1 species
AACGAACGCUGGCGGCAGGCUUAACACAUGCAAGUCGAGCGCCCCGCAAGGGGAGCGGCAGACGGGUGAGUAACGCGUGGGAACAUACCCUUUGGUUCGGAAUAACUCAGGGAAACUUGAGCUAAUACCGGAUACGUCCGUAAGGAGAAAGAUUUAUCGCCAAAGGAUUGGCCCGCGUCCGAUUAGCUAGUUGGUGAGGUAACGGCUCACCAAGGCUACGAUCGGUAGCUGGUCUGAGAGGAUGAUCAGCCACAUUGGGACUGAGACACGGCCCAAACUCCUACGGGAGGCAGCAGUGGGGAAUAUUGGACAAUAGGGCGCAAGCCUGAUCCAGCCAUGCCGCGUGAGUGAUGAAGGCCUAGGGUUGUAAAGCUCUUUUGCCGGGGACGAUAAUGACGGUACCCGGAGAAUAAGUCCCGGCUAACUUCGUGCCAGCAGCCGCG